GCAGCAACCAGAGCAUUCAACUUACAAUUGUACUCAGUCAGGUAAUACUAGCUUCAAACUAGAGGCUGCAUUUUGAAUAGUUUGUCGCAACCAGGCAUCCGUAGUUUACAUCGUUACUAGGAAAAUUAUGCUGCUAUAUUAGCAGUAUGGCGAACCAAGACACAACUGAAACGUGCGGGCUUCCGUGGCCAUAUUGUACAUGCCUACCACACUCCUCUUGCAACCCCUCACACCCCCGACCAGUAUGAAUUUUUAAGAUAUUAAGUUUGCGUGAGGAGGAUGGAGAGGGGACUGACCCAGAUUUUCCUUUGCCAUGGGCCAUCGUGGACACUGAGAAGGAAAGACUCAUCUUUGAGAAAGAUUAAGAGGAGAAUGCAAGAGGUGCUGAGAGGAUUCAGCAGCAGAUGUAGCACAGCCAGAGAGGUGGCUGCUGAUUCUCCCAUAAUUCCCCGGAAGAGGAGAUCUAGGAACAAAGGAGCCAACAUUCCCCAGAUCUCAACAAUGUGUCCGCUACAAUUAAUCAUUUUAUUCUAUUUGUUUUAUUAAUGGGUUC